CGAGACGCUGGCGGCGUGCCUAACACAUGCAAGUCGAGCGGGGUUGAAGCGAGAGGUAACUCGAACUUCUACCUAGCGGCGGACGGGUGAGUAACGCGUGGGCAACCUGCCUCAAGGUUUGGGAUAACAGCCCGAAAGGGCUGCUAAUACCGGAUAUGCCUAUGGCCUCGCAUGGGGCUAUGAGCAAAGGGGAAACCCGCCUUGAGAUGGGCCCGCGUCCCAUCAGCUAGUUGGUGAGGUAACAGCUCACCAAGGCGACGACGGGUAGCCGGCCUGAGAGGGUGACCGGCCACACUGGGACUGAGACACGGCCCAGACUCCUACGGGGGGCAGCAGUGGGGGAUCUUGCACAAUGGGCGAAAGCCUGAUGCAGCGACGCCGCGUGAGCGAAGAAGGCCUUCGGGUUGUAAAGCUCUGUCUGGAGGGACGAACAAAAUGACGGUACCUCCGGAGGAAGCCACGGCUAACUACGUG
rnacentral:rRNA from 1 species